rnacentral:rRNA from 1 species
GAAGGUMCMAAGCGUUGUUCGGAAUCACUGGGCGUAAAGGGAGCSUAKGCGGCGUGGUAAGUCAGAUGUGAAAUCCCGGGGCUCAACCCCGGAACUGCAUCCGAUACUGCCAUGCUAGAGGAUUGGAGAGGUAGCUGGAAUUCUUGGUGUAGCAGUGAAAUGCGUAGAGAUCAAGAGGAACACUCGUGGCGAAAGCGAGCUACUGGACAAUUCCUGACGCUGAGGCUCGAAGGCUAGGGUAGCGAAAGGGAUUAKAUACCCCUGUAGUCCUAGCAGUAAACGGUGCACGCUUGGUGUGAGGGGAAUCKACCCCCCUUGUGCCGGAGCUAACGCGUUAAGCGUGCCSCCWGGGAAGUACGGUCGCARGACUA